CGGCCGUUAGCAAGUUAAAACCAAAACCCUACCUGAACUGCCGCACACCCACUCUUCCCCCUUCCCCAGUUGACCGAUCACCGGAGCUACUUCCGGCGACCAUUCCGCUUCCGGCGGGGAACAGUAAACAACGCCGUUAGAAAACGUCGUUGCCAAAAGAGAAACCACGUGUGACCCUAAUACAGUUCCACCGCAUCCCUCGACGUCCUCCCCUUCCUCCCUCUUCUCUUCGUUGAGAAACGUCGCUCUAUUCAACAUUCAACAGCGAAAUCUCCAUAGGAAUCCACGUUUGAUGCAUGUCGUCUAAAAAUUUAGGGCUCUGACAGGUAUGUUUUGGGCAACUCUUCAGUUUUGCUUCUAAAAUUAGGGCUCCGAUGUUAAUUACUUUGGGUAAAUCUUUACAAUUUGAGGUAUGGUGUAUUCUGUAUUUGCAUUUGUAUUUUUAGAUUACAUGUAUCAGUUGGAUCUCACUUGGGUUGAUUGUAGCUCCUUCAGUUAUGUUUGCUUUUCAUCUAACAUUCACCAUGGCAACGGAUAGGAGGUUAAUGGUCGAGCAUGCUCGCAGGAGUUAAGUCAAAUGAAUAUGGUGAUUACGCCAUCUGAGAUGGCGGAACUGGGCGACAUCCUGGCAUCAGGCUGAUGUGGCAAGACAGAUGGCAAUUGAGGUGGAAAGCAUGGCUGGUUCUGCUAUCUGAGAAGAUAGAUUCGAGUGACGUGGCUCAUGGCUUCACACGUAUACCUUAUUCGUUGACAUGGGAUGAACACGUUGGAUCUGAUAUCUGAGAGAGUAGAACCGAGCCGUCUGCAAAUUGAAGGUGCACAGUGCUGUGUGGACGUGGCUAGGAGAGCUUCAAUGGUUUGAGAUGGCUAGAACCCGCUUAACUUUUUUUUAAUAUAUUUGUUAUACAAAUAAGAAUAAGUUGACACUCUCUAUAUCUCUAUUUGCUAGACAUUGGCCUCAACCAUAUCUAACUACUAUAUCUGUUGAUGCAUUGAGAAUAACCUCUAUUUAUAUCAAUGUUUUAAACCUUGGAUUUGAAUUACACCGUUUUCAGCCAUAUCAAUUGUGAGGUGACUACUCAAAACUUGUACCAUGUAUAGGGUUAAUCUUGACGGUAUUUUACUGGGUACAAGAAAUGGAGCUUCAUAUUUGGAUGAACGGGUCAAACAGGAGUUCGGGUUAAAUUAAUCAUGUUUAUUUUUAUAUUUGAAUAGGUGUCAAGGUAGUGGGUAAUAUCAACGAUUGUGUUUACUAAAUUGUACGAUAGCGGCUACUAAAUUGUAGAUGUUGCGAUAAUACAUUUAGAUGCAUAUUGAAACAGGGAAAUAUCAAAGCAAAUCAAGGUUGCAACGCCUAAUAUCAAAGUAAUCCGGGCUGCAAAGUCUGGUAAUGGUCAAAAAGGUUUCCUCGACCUGAGAUUGCGUAUCCAAUGUGUCCUCCAAGUGUGACAUCAUUUGUUACUUUGAGUGUGUGCAGGUGAAUCAUACAGGCAAGGUUUAUCGGUACUAGAACAAUGCGAACUGAAUCAGCAUGAUAGGAAUUCCAAAGGAUUGGUUCUUCUUUCAAUUUUAAUGAUAUGAGAUUUGAGGUGCAUUAAUCCAAAAGAUGAGUAUCAUCCUAUCUAUCUUUAAUAUUCAAGGUAACCAGCCAACUAGCCAAGUGACAAGGACUUCCAAGUCAAGCCGAAUCCCCAUCUCAAGUAGCAGGUUCCUUUAACCAGCCACAUCUUCAGCCAAUCUCAGCGAGUCGUACAAACCCCACCCCGCAACGCGGGGGUUUAAACACUAGUUAAAUAAUAAUUCUAAACAGAAAAUUAGAUAAGAAUAUAAACGUUUGUUUUUAUUAUGAUCAUAUUAA